UCGAGCGAACAGACGAGAAGCUUGCUUCUCUGAUGUUAGCGGCGGACGGGUGAGUAACACGUGGAUAACCUACCUAUAAGACUGGGAUAACUUCGGGAAACCGGAGCUAAUACCGGAUAAUAUUUUGAACCGCAUGGUUCAAAAGUGAAAGACGGUCUUGCUGUCACUUAUAGAUGGAUCCGCGCUGCAUUAGCUAGUUGGUAAGGUAACGGCUUACCAAGGCAACGAUGCAUAGCCGACCUGAGAGGGUGAUCGGCCACACUGGAACUGAGACACGGUCCAGACUCCUACGGGAGGCAGCAGUAGGGAAUCUUCCGCAAUGGGCGAAAGCCUGACGGAGCAACGCCGCGUGAGUGAUGAAGGUCUUCGGAUCGUAAAACUCUGUUAUUAGGGAAGAACAUAUGUGUAAGUAACUGUGCACAUCUUGACGGUACCUAAUCAGAAAGCCACGGCUAACUACGUGCCAGCAGCCGCGGUAAUACGUAGGUGGCAAGCGUUAUCCGGAAUUAUUGGGCGUAAAGCGCGCGUAGGCGGUUUUUUAAGUCUGAUGUGAAAGCCCACGGCUCAACCGUGGAGGGUCAUUGGAAACUGGAAAACUUGAGUGCAGAAGAGGAAAGUGGAAUUCCAUGUGUAGCGGUGAAAUGCGCAGAGAUAUGGAGGAACACCAGUGGCGAAGGCGA
rnacentral:rRNA from 1 species